rnacentral:rRNA from 1 species
UACAGAGGGUGCGAGCGUUGUUCGGAAUUAUUGGGCGUAAAGGGCGCGUAGGCGGUGCGGUAAGUCACCUGUGAAAUCUCCUGGCUCAACUGGGAGCUUGCAGGCGAAACUGCCGUGCUGGAGUGUGGGAGAGGUGCGUGGAAUUCCCAGUGUAGCGGUGAAAUGCGUAGAUAUCGGGAGGAACACCUGUGGCGAAAGCGGCGCACUGGACCACAACUGACGCUGAGGCGCGAAAGCUAGGGGAGCAAACAGG